UUUGGAGAGUAGAGCUGGGCUCCCAACCCUGAGGUGUUGCUGCCCAAGAAAGUAGGAGCACUUGGAGAUUCCCAGGGGGAAGAAUUGCCACAUGAAGGAAGAACAGGAGGAAGGAGACACCCAGACUGGUCCUCAAUGAAUCACACCAUAGAUUUCACCAUCCCAAGUCUUACUUCUGGAGCCAGACCAUGUACCAGAUCCAGAUUACUUCCUUUUGUAAGGACUUCCUGCUUCAACAGAAGACAGGAAUCACGUGCUGCGUCAUCUCAAGAAUUCUUAAAACACGUGACAGUGAAAGAAUGACCGUACUGAACCUACUUACACGCAUAUACAUGAAAGGAACUCUGUCUGGAAGCUGAGGAAAGAAGAUAGCAAGUUCAAAGCCAUCCUAGACUACCUGAUGAGGCCUUAUGGAGGUAAGCGAGCAAAUGAACAAUUGAGCAAGUGAGGCAGCCAACCAGUCAGCCAGCAAGCAAGGAAGCAAGCAAGCAAGUGAGUGAGUAAGCAACUGAGUGAGCAAAUAAAUCUUCUGCUGACCCAAAGCCCUGGAGUGGUUUCUGUGGUAUAAACGAAUGGACCGGGACCACAGUAAAGCUGGCGAUUGUCUCACCAGUCCUUUGUAGACUGGACGGCACUAAAGACUGAAGUGGUCAUUUUAAUUAAAAAAAAGAAAAGUUUGAGAUGAAGAGACUAUGCAAGAAUGGGCACCUGAGUCUGAAUCAUCAGAAAAGAAUGAACACCUGAGUCUGAGUUCUCAGAACACACAUAAAAGCAAACAUGUUUAGAAAGACAGAUGGGAUGUGCAUUGAACGUAUGACAGGAGUCUACUAAAGGCAUCUGAAAGACUCUAACUAGCAGUGUUUUCAAAGCAGAUACAAAGACUCAUGACCAAACCUUCGGCAGAGUACAGGGAAUCAUAUGAAAGAAGGGCAGUUAGUAUGAUGUGGAAAGGAUAGGAGCUCCACAAGGACCAAAUAUAUCUGGGCACAGGGUCUUUUCUGAGACUGACACUCCACCAAGGACCAUGUAUAUAACCUAGAACCUCUGCUCGGAUGUGGCCCGUGGUAGCUCAGUAACCAAUUGGUUUCCCAUAGUGCGGGGAACGAGGAAUAUUUCCAGCAGGAACUCAAUAGCUGGCUCUUUGACCUCCCCACCCCCCAAGGGAGGAGCAGUCCUGCUAGGCCACAGAGGAGGACUUUGCAGCCAGUCCUGAAGAUACCUGAUAAAACAGGAUCAGAUGAAUGGGGAGGAGGUCCCCCCAUCAGUGGACUUGGAAAGUGGCACAGUGGAGAUGAGGGAGGGAAGGUGGGAUUGGGAGGGAAUGAGGGAGCGGGAUGCAGCUGGGAUACAGAGUUAAUAAAAUAUAACUGAUAAGAAAAAAAUAAAAUUAAAAAAAAAAAGCAAACAU